UCCCUUCUCUCAUUCCUUUGAAUUUCAGAAUUCAUUUAAUCCUCUAAUCUUUGAACGCACCUUGCGCUCCUUGGUAUUCCUUGGAGCAUGCCUGUUUGAGUAUCAUGAAAUCUUCAAAGUAAAUCUUUUGUUAACUCAAUUGGUUUCUACUUUGGUAUUGGAGGUCUUUGCAGCUUCACACCUGCUCCUCUUUGUUCAUUAGCUGGAUCUCAGUGUUAUGCUUGGUUCCACUCGGCGUGAUAAGUUAUCUAUCGCUGAGGACACUGUAAAAGGUGGCCAAGGUAAAUGCAGAUGAACCGCUUCUAAUAGUCCAUUGACUUGGACAAUACUUUUAUGAUCUGAUCUCAAAUCAGGUAGGACUACCCGCUGAACUUAAGC
rnacentral:misc_RNA from 1 species